CAUCCAUGGAGUGGAGUUGGGAUGAAGCUACCGUUACUUUUGAUUCAGAUGCCAUGCAAGUGUUCUGCUCAUGCAAAAAGUACGAUUGUUUUGGUAUGUUAUGCAAGCACAUACUACGAGUCUUCAGCCAAAUAGUAUUAUCAUGUUGCCUCCUAAGUACAUAUUGAGUCGGUGGACAAAGUAUGCAAAAAGAGGCAGCUUUUCUAAUAACAAGCAACAUCAGCAUGAUGACUUAGCAACUCAUAGUGCACUUCUCUCCCGAAAGAUGAUAUCAGUUGCGCUGAAAUGUGCAGUUUCAAAAAAGGUUCUUCAACACUUAGAUGAUGGUUUUGAUAAACUGACUUUAGAAGUCGAUAACUUAUUGAGUCAAGUCAACUUGAAUAAGAAAGAAGCACCACAAUGUUUUCUCAAGUGUACCCAAGAGGUUGCCAAGGAGCGCAUAUCAUUUAGAGUACCUCCACACAUAAAAGGCCCCACGCUUAAAAGAUAAAAAACUGUACUUGAAGGAGGAAAGAAAAACUGUUCAACUAAAAAGAAUGGAGGAAAGAAAAAUGCUGCUACAACUAAAAAAAAGAAAGAUGAUUCAAGGCAACAUGGAACUUCACAGCAGACUUCAGAUGCUACAAGGUUAACCUCUGUAAUUGGUUUGUACACGCUUUCUUCGACCACAUCUGCUCCUUCGACCACAUCUGCUCCUUCCAUCCAAGGUGGACUUGCAAGUCUGUUACGACGAGUUGAGCAAAUUGCCACAUCGUCAUCACCCGCUAGAAAGUUACAUUUUGAUUAAUGGCAUUUUGUGCUCCCUGUGAGACUAGUUCUUAUUUAUACAUGUCUGCUCCUUUCAUUUAAGAUGGAUAUACAAAUCUUUGGCCUUGUUUAGUUCCGAAAAGAUUUCGGAUUUCGGUACUGUAGCACUU